UUGACGGGGAGCACCACAACGGUGGAGCUUGCGGUUUAAUUGGAUUCAACGCCGGAAAUCUUACCGGGACCGACAGCAAUAUGAAGGCCAGGCUGAAGACUUUGCCGGAUUAGCUGAGAGGUGGUGCAUGGCCGUCGUCAGUUCGUACUGUGAAGCAUCCUGUUAAGUCAGGCAACGAGCGAGACCCACGCCCACAGUUGCCAGCGUACUCUCUGGAGUGACGGGUACACUGUGGGGACCGCCGCUGCUAAAGCGGAGGAAGGAAUGGGCAACGGUAGGUCAGUAUGCCCCGAAUAUCCCGGGCUACACGCGAGCUACAAUGGUUGGUACAAUGGGUAUCUACCCCGAAAGGGGACGGGAAUCUCCUAAAACCAAUCUUAGUUCGGAUUGAGGGCUGCAACUCGCCCUCAUGAAGCUGGAAUCCGUAGUAAUCGCGUUUCAACAGAACGCGGUGAAUACGUCCCUGCUCCUU
rnacentral:rRNA from 1 species